UAUAAUUGUGGAUACCUAGCACUGUGCGGUCGGUAUUUGAACUUUGUAGUAUUGUAGCAUGAGUCGUUAAUUCUUUAAACGGCUUUUCGGAGUGGAUCUUCUGUUGUUAUU